rnacentral:miRNA from 1 species
AUACCAUUUACCCAGGGAUCUUGUUACAAUGCAGAUUCUGAUUCAGUUAGUUGGGGAUGGGGAAGAACUUCUGCAUUCUAACAAGCUCCCAGGGGAUAUUCAU